rnacentral:lncRNA from 1 species
CAUGUCUCAGGGGUGGGAGGAAGACGUUGUCUCCCUGAGCAGUUGAGAAGAGAGAUCGCAUUGCUGGCAGGGCACCGAGGUCUGUGCUGGAAGAAAAACUUUGCAGAGAGCAACAGGCUUGAGCUGGCUUCAACCCACCUACUCUUCCCCAGCGACGGGGGAAACCCAGCAUCGCGGCGGGGAGCGCGUCGUGCAGACCGGAUCAACCCCCGACUGCCUUCUCCAGGGACACCCGCUCUGUGCUGAGCCGCUCGCGUGCCGUCCCCGAGGUCAGCCGAGUCGAGCAGAAACUCAGCGCGCACACCGGAUAAUCCACGGCACCGGCUCCCACGGUCUGGUAAAAAUAGACACCAUUUUUUAUUUUUGCACCAGCUAUUUCAGAUACAGUUGCUGCAUUUCAAAGAGGAAAUAUUGCUCCAAACUCUGCAUUAACACCUAUCAGCGUAAUUUCGCAUGGCAAGUUAAGGAAGCAAAGCAGCACUUCACGUGCUCCCUGAUUUUGUAGCGGUGUGUGCCAAGGGCUUACAGCUGGCUCAGGCCUAUGCAAACCCUCCGGCCACCGCCACGCUGCGCUGGAGAAUGCCUUCCAGUCCGUCCCUGCAAAUGGGCCAGGCCUGGGAUAAAACAGGAAGGGAAAAACGCGUAGCGAUUGCAGCAACGGCGCCUGCUUACGGGGGUCUCCGGGCCGCGACGUGGCAGCACCGCGGGG